rnacentral:rRNA from 1 species
GCUACGGGAUGCACCAGUGGGGAAUAUUGCACAAUGGGCGCAGGCCUGAUGCAGCCAUGCCGCGUGUAUGAAGAAGGCCUUCGGGUUGUAAAGUACUUUCAGCGGGGAGGAAGGUGUUGCGGUUAAUAACCGCAGCAAUUGACGUUACCCGCAGAAGAAGCACCGGCUAAGUCCGUGCCAGCAGCCGCGGUAAUACGGAGGGUGCAAGCGUUAAUCGGAAUUACUGGGCGUAAAGCGCACGCAGGCGGUCUGUCAAGUCGGAUGUGAAAUCCCCGGGCUCAACCUGGGAACUGCAUUCGAAACUGGCAGGCUAGAGUCUUGUAGAGGGGGGUAGAAUUCCAGGUGUAGCGGUGAAAUGCGUAGAGAUCUGGAGGAAUACCGGUGGCGAAGGCGGCCCCCUGGACAAAGACUGACGCUCAGGUGCGAAAGCGUGGGGAGUAAACAGGAUUAGAUACCCUGGUAGUC